GGAGGAAAGCAGGGGAUCGCAAGACCUUGCGCUCAUUGAGCGGCCGAUGCCUGAUUAGCUAGUUGGUGAGGUAAAGGCUUACCAAGGCGACGAUCAGUAGCUGGUCUGAGAGGACGACCAACCACACUGGGACUGAGACACGGCCCAGACUCCUACGGGAGGCAGCAGUGGGGAAUUUUGAACAAUGGGGGAAACCCUGAUCCAGCCAUGCCGCGUGAGUGAAGAAGGCCUUCGGGUUGUAAAGCUCUUUCAGCCGGAACGAAACGGUCACGGCUAAUACCUGUGACUACUGACGGUACCGGAAGAAGAAGCACCGGCUAACUACGUGCCAGCAGCCGCGGUAAUACGUAGGGUGCGAGCGUUAAUCGGAAUUACUGGGCGUAAAGCGUGCGCAGGCGGUUUUGUAAG
rnacentral:rRNA from 1 species